rnacentral:rRNA from 1 species
CACGUAGGGCGCAAGCGUUGUCCGGAAUUAUUGGGCGUAAAGAGCUCGUAGGCGGUCUGUUGCGUCUGCUGUGAAAACCCGGGGCUUAACCCCUGGCUUGCAGUGGAUACGGACAGACUAGAGGUAGGUAGGGGAGAAUGGAAUUCCCGGUGUAGCGGUGAAAUGCGCAGAUAUCGGGAGGAACACCGGUGGCGAAGGCGGUUUUCUGGGCCUUACCUGACGCUGAGGAGCGAAAGCGUGGGGAGCGAACAGG